rnacentral:rRNA from 1 species
CAGCCUGAUGCAGCCAUGCCGCGUGUAUGAAGAAGGCCUUCGGGUUGUAAAGUACUUUCAGCAGAGAGGAAGGUAGUAGUGUUAAUAGCACAAUCAUUUGACGUUAGCUGCAGAAGAAGCACCGGCUAACUCCGUGCCAGCAGCCGCGGUAAUACGGAGGGUGCGAGCGUUAAUCGGAAUUUCUGGGCGUAAAGCGCAUGCAGGUGGAUGAUUAAGUCAGAUGUGAAAGCCCGGGGCUCAACCUCGGAAUAGCAUUUGAAACUGGUCAUCUAGAGUACUGUAGAGGGGGGGGUAGAAUUUCAGGUGUAGCGGUGAAAUGCGUAGAGAUCUGAAGGAAUACCGGUGGCGAAGGCGGCCCCCUGGACAGAUACUGACACUCAGAUGCGAAAGCGUGGGGAGCAAACAGGAUUAGAUACCCUGGUAGUCCACGCCGUAAACGAUGUCUACUUGGAGGUUGUGGCCUUGAGCCGUGGCUUUCGGAGCUAACGCGUUAAGUAGACCGCCUGGGGAGUACGGUCGCAAGAUUAAAACUCAAAUGAAUUGACGGGGGCCCGCACAAGCGGUGGAGCAUGUGGUUUAAUUCGAUGCAACGCGAAGAACCU